CAGAUCUUUAGUUGCCUGUGGAGAGAUGACUGUGAUGGCUGCCAAACUGAUUCAAGUCCUUCAGCGGGUGAAAAUGCACUGCUAGGAACCCUGAAGGUUUUGCCUGCAUCUCCAAUGGAUGAAGAAUCUGUUUGUACUGCGGGGACUUGAGAAGACAGAGGGCAUGCUUAUGCUGGUGUCUCAGGAUAUAAUUAACGUAAGAAAAAAAGCAAAGAGGAUGCCUGUAUGAAGAAGAAAACCCCACCUGACAACUUUGAUGUAAGAAGAGCCUUCUCCCAUUGACUACUCUGGGGAUGCUGGUGCAUCAGGCAUUCUCACACUGCUGACCUGACCUCUUUAAUCCUGGCUUUCCUGAAGGAAAAGCUGAUCCAUCAGGCCUCCUGUAUCUAAAAUGGGAUGAAAGGAAGCAAUGGACCUGUUUCUAC